GAUGAACGCUAGCUACAGGCUUAACACAUGCAAGUCGAGCGACCGGCGCACGGGUGAGUAAUACGUCUCCAACCUGCCUUUUAGUCGGGGAUAGCCUUUCGCAAGAAAGAUUAAUACCUGAUGUAAAGGUUGGGGAUGCGUUCAAUUAGGUUGUUGGUGAGGUAACGGCUCACCAAGCCUUCGAUGGAUAGUGGUUCUGAGAGGAAGAUCCACCAGAUUGGAGCAGAGGACCGGUCCAAACACCGACGGUAGGCAGCAGAGAGGAACAUUGGUCAAUGGGCGUUGGCCUGAACCAGCCAAGUAGCGUAAAGGUUGAAUGCUUAUGAGACGAAAACUACUGUUAUAGAAGAAUAUGUAUUAUAUGAAGAAGGAUCGGCUAACUCCGUGCCAGCCGCCGCGGUAAUAC
rnacentral:rRNA from 1 species